AAGCAAAUAUGUAUCUAUCCAUGUGUGUGUAUAUAUGUGUAUGUUCAUAUAUAUAUGUUGUCUUUAUUGGGGCGGGUAGUGGAUAAAGUAGAUUUGGGUUUACAUUGCUUGGGUUUGUGGAUUUAAUCUCCGUUUUCGUCUUACUCAGUCUGAGUUCUAUAUUUUAAUGUUUUAUAUCUCAAUAUAAUCUUUUGGUACUGCAGCGAGCAUUAGGAUCAGAGAUUUUCAUGGCGGACAUAAAAUUUUGAACUUUAUUGGGUUCUUUUGUGCUAAUUAAAUAAAUUCUUUGCAAUUAAUUAGAGGGCAUUGGGUUAGAAUACAAAUCUAAUUGAUAUCAUAUAUUGAUAACAAUUUAAAAAUAUUAUUGAAUUCUUCAGGGUUUUUGUAAUACUGUAACUGAUUUCUAAUGCCUGGGAAGGACCUGCCUUUAAGAUCUUGAAGGCUAUUCCUUGAACUAUUUGAUCGGUUUUAAUAAGCAGCAACCAUGGAUCUUUGCUUAGCAAAAAACACCAUGGAUCUUUAUGCUACUAAUCCUGGUCCGGUUGAUGAUUCUGUAUUGUAUGAUCAAGAUAAGCAUGUUUCGACCGCAGUUUGGGAGGGACAGGAGCGUGGGGCGCUUAGAUGUCAUGAACACACUUCGAAGCUUGAUCAGUGGACACUCACAACGAAACAGAUUGAGUUGGUAAAGAAGGCUGGAUUUGGCUACUUAAGAUUGAUACCUCCAAUUAGUUUGGACAACCCACUCAUCUCUGCGCUAGUUGAGAGGUGGAGGAGGGAAACUAAUACUUUUCAUUUGACUGUUGGAGAAAUGACAGUAACUCUUGAGGAUGUUGCAUAUUUGCUUGGACUAGCGAUUGAUGGAGAACCUGUUAUAGGUGUAACAUAUACCGCCUGUGAUGCAGUAUGUGUGAAAUAUUUAGGGAAAGCGCCAGACUCUGGGUAUACGAGUGGUGGAAUGGUGAAACUUAGUUGGUUGAAAGAGACCUUCUCUCAUUGUCCUGAGGAUGCGCCAAUCGAAGAUACUGAGCGCCACACACGUGCAUACCUUCUUUAUCUUGUUGGUAGCACAAUAUUUUCUACUACCACUGGUAAUAAAGUCCCUGUCAUGUACCUUCCAUUGUUUGAAGAUUUUGACCAAGCUGGGAAGUAUGCCUGGGGUGCAGCAGCAUUGUCGUUCUUGUAUAGAGCACUUGGCAAUGCCUCUCUUAAGUCUCAGAGCACCAUUAGCGGCUGUUUGACACUUCUACAGUGUUGGAGUUACUAUCACCUGAAUGUUGGUCGACCAAAGCUUAAUCAAGAUCCAAUCCAUAAUUGUUUUCCUUUCGUACUCAGGUGGAAAGGAAAACAAAGUGGUCCAACAACAAAUCGAGAUGUAGCCUUCUACCGUAAAGUGUUGGACUCCCUAAAACCAUCCGAUGUUGAGUGGCGUCCUUACACAAAUAUUAAUUAUAAGCUUAUACCAGAUGACAUAAAAAACAAUCUGAUUCUUGGGAGAUCAAAGACUAUGUUAAUAUGUUUUGACAAGGCAGAAAGACACCUCCCAGAUCGUUGCUUAAGGCAAUUUGGCCUGCAACAACCGAUCCCAGAAGAUGUGCAGCGGUGGGAGAGGAAGAGCCGAGGAGUCGAUGGUGGGGUAGACCUGUGUGGGAAAAUGGGAUCAGAGCUUAGUGAAUGGUCAGAUUGUCGUUUCCAUAUCGUAGAGGAUGAUGAUGGUGUGGAUGAAAGUGAAUAUAUGCAGUGGUAUCUGAAAAUCACACGUAAGUUGGUUGGAAGGCCUAUACCAAUCUCAUCUGAGUUUCAAAGAAUGAAUGCUGCAUUGAGGGACAUUGCACAUGUAGCAGAUACACUUUCAACCCUAGGGAUGGAUGAUCAACAAAUACAUUCAGUGUCAAGAAUCAGAUAUAUUGCACAUGAAUGUUUGAGGGACCAGGUUGGAAGUUCAAUAAUUCUGGUAGACACCUCACAAAAUGAACUUGGGAAAAGGGUAAGGGGUAAAGAGAGGGUAAGAAGAAAGGGUAUGGGGAAACGUAAGCGAAAGGAUGACUCAGAGCAAUUCCAUGCAGCUGGUGAGGAUGCUCAGUUACAGUUAUGUGGUGCAGCUGUUGAGGUUGCACCCAUUGAGGUUGAUCACUCACAGCUAUGUCAUGUAGAUGGUGACACUGAUCAUCCACAGCUGUGCUUUCAAGCUAGCGAGGGUGAUAAUGCACAACUGUGUCAAGUGGAAAACGAGGUUGAUGACUCGCAGUUCCGUAAUGCAGCUAAUGAGGUUGAUGACUCGCAGUUCCGUACUGCAGCUAAUGGGGUUGAUGACUCGCAGUUCCGUAAUGAAGCUAAUGAGGUUGAUGACUUGCACUUCUGUCAUGCAGCCGAAGAUGAUAAUAACAAACAUCUGUCUCAUGAAGCCACCGAGAGUGCUCCACAACCAUCUCCUUCGUCUGUCAAUGUUAUUCCCCCGUCAUCUCUUGAAACUAGCAAGGAUGUUGCACAGCAGAUUGAUUAUGGUGUUCUAAUUUAGAGAAUGAAGACAUAGCGCAUUCAAUUUUGCGGAGUUCAUUCUUUCAGGUUUAUCAUAGAGCCGAGCAUGCUGUGUAUUGAUUGGUAAAAGCUCAAGCUACUAAGAGAAUGCGCAUUCGGGUUUGAGAGCAAUUAGUUAAACUAUGUACUUAGUGUGCCCCUCCUAGCAGCCCAAAAAAGAGUGACCGAAUUUGGGUAAAUGGUCUUUUAUGUUAAUGCAAGUAGCCAGGACUUGCAUUGUGAAUGCUUGAUAAAUUUGGCUGAGUGCGCUUUGGGAAUCAAUGCUCUCCUCAGAUUCUUCCCAUGAGACCUUGACUGUAAUUUAUUAGCAACUUGACGUUGAGAGUCAGUUUUGUUCAGUUUUCCGUACAACUUGCCAUGUCCAAUGUUUAGAAAUUUGAUAUGGCUUUGUAAUUUCUGUUAUCUUCUUUUUUCUUCAUGUAAAAAAAGCCAAGCAUUUGAAAAUCA